rnacentral:scRNA from 1 species
CCUUUACAUCGGUUUUCAUGGCCUUGAUAAAG